ensembl:scaRNA small Cajal body-specific RNA 1
AAGCACUUGAUACUAACCAAGCCAUCUUUACCUUAGUCCAGAGGUAUAACUUGUGAUUGGCUGGGUCUAAGAAGUGCAACAUCAAAGCAAGCCAUGAAGUGAUCAAGCUCAGUAUGUGGAGAGUCACACUGGGUUAUGAUUCAGAGGCACAGAU